rnacentral:rRNA from 1 species
CCUACGGGCGGCAGCAGUCGAGAAUCAUUCACAAUGGGGGAAACCCUGAUGGUGCGACGCCGCGUGGGGGAAUGAAGGUCUUCGGAUUGUAAACCCCUGUCAUGUGGGAGCAAAUUAAAAAGAUAGUAUCACCAGAGGAAGAGACGGCUAACUCUGUGCCAGCAGCCGCGGUAAUACAGAGGUCGCAAGCGUUGUUCGGAAUCACUGGGCGUAAAGCGUGCGUAGGCUGUUUCGUAAGUCGUGUGUGAAAGGCGCGGGCUCAACCCGCGGACGGCACCUGAUACUGCGAGACUAGAGUAAAGGAGGGGUGACCGGAAUUCUCGGUGUAGCAGUGAAAUGCGUAGAUAUCGAGAGGAACACUCGUGGCGAAGGCGGGUUCCUGGACAUUAACUGACGCUGAGGCACGAAGGCCAGGGUAGCGAAAGGGAUUAGAUACCCGAGUAGUC